rnacentral:rRNA from 1 species
GGAGGCAGCAGUAGGGAAUUUCGUCAAUGGCGCAAGCCUGAACGAGCAAUGCCGCGUGAGUGAGGAAAGGUCUUCGGAUCGUAAAGCUCUGUGUAAGGGAAAAAGGGAUAUAAGAGGAAAUGCUUAUAUUUUGAUGGUACCUUACCAGAAAGUCACGGCUAACUACGUGCCAGCAGCCGCGGUAAUACGUAGGUGGCGAGCGUUAUCCGGAAUGAUUGGGCGUAAAGGGUGCGCAGGCGGCAUGUCAAGUCUGAAGUGAAAGGUACCAGCUUAACUGGUACAGGCUUUGGAAACUGGCAUGCUAGAGGACAGGAGAGGGCGGUGGAACUCCAUGUGUAGCGGUAAAAUGCGUAGAUAUAUGGAAGAACACCAGUGGCGAAGGCGGCCGCCUGGACUGUUACUGACGCUCAGGCACGAAAGCGUGGGGAGCAAAUAGGAUUAGAUACCCUAGUAGUCCACGCCCUAAACGAUGAGGGGCAGGUGUCGGGGGUAGAGCCCCGGUGCCGAAGCCAACGCAGUGACUCCUCCGCCUGGGGAGUAUGCACGCAAGUGUGAAACUCAAAGGAAUUGACGGGGGCCCGCACAAGCGGUGGAGUAUGUGGUUUAAUUCGAAGCAACGCGAAGAACCUUACCAGGCCUUGACAUGGGAUGCGAAGGUGCAGAGAUGCACUGGAGGUUAUCAUCCACACAGGUGGUGCAUGGUUGUCGUCAGCUCGUGUCGUGAGAUGUUCAGUUAAGUCUGGCAACGAGCGCAACCCUCGUGAUAUGUUGCUAACAUCAAGUUGAGGACUCAUAUCAGACUGCCGGUACAAACCGGAGAAAGGUGGGGAUGACGUCAAAUCAUCAUGCCCCUUAUGGCCUGGGCUACACACGUACUACAAUGGCAUCUACAAAGGGAAGCGAACCUGUGAAGGGAAGCGAACCCCACAAAAGAUGUCCCAGUUCGGAUUGAAGUCUGCAACCCGACUUCAUGAAGUUGGAAUCGCUAGUAAUCGCAGAUCAGCAUGCUGCGGUGAAUACGUUCCCGGGCCUUGUACACACCGCCCGUCAAACCAUGGAAGUUUGUAACGCCCAAAGUCGGUGGCCUAACCAUUUGGAGGGAGCCGC